rnacentral:rRNA from 1 species
AACGUAGGUGGCGAGCGUUAUCCGGAUUUACUGGGCGUAAAGGGUGUGCAGGCGGGCUGUUAAGUGGUGUAUGAAAUAUCCCGGCUCAACCGGGAAGGGUUAUGCCAGACUGGCAGUCUAGAGAGCGAGAGAGGGACGUGGAAUUCCGGGUGUAGUGGUGAAAUGCGUAGAGAUCCGGAGGAACCCCAGAGGCGAAGGCGGCGUCCUGGCUCGCAACUGACGCUCAGACACGACAGCAUGGGGAGCGAACGGG